UAUUGAAAUGAACAGAUGCAUUCCACGUCACAUGGAUCUCAUGGAAACAUGCCAACCAUUUUCUUAGCAACCAAACUCCUGUCUUCUGCACUGUGCAUGAUUAACUAAAACAGCCUGUUGACGGCUUAAAAUAAACCUGCCUUUUCCAUUUAGCAUUUUAUCAAAUGAAUAUAAUUUCAUUUGCUGAUGAAUUUAAUUCAGCUUCAAGAGAAGUUUUCUUUUCUUCAUGGGGAGGCUGAAGAAUCAGAACUGUCAUGCCAAAGAAUGAAAAGCAAGCCUAGGGAGAACAAGACAGUCUGAUGUUUACAUGGAAGGUGUAUGAGCAAAUAAGUAGAUCACUAUGUAAAGGAUUAGAGAAAGAAGGUAAACUUAGCACCUGUUAACCUGGGGGCAAGUGAGCUUCAGAUUGGUUAGACUUCCCUCAGGCUGUAGGUUAGGACCAGGUCUGCUACAAGAGUCGCUCAUCUUCCUUGGACCAACAGUUAAUCAAGGAACGUUCUUCUCAUGGCAAAAG